rnacentral:rRNA from 1 species
AUUGAACGCUGGCGGCAGGCUUAACACAUGCAAGUCGAGCGAGCGGCGGACGGGUGAGUAACGUCUGGGAAACUGCCUGAUGGAGGGGGAUAACUACUGGAAACGGUAGCUAAUACCGCAUACCUUCAGAUGUGCUCAGAUGUGAUUAGUUAGUAGGUGGGGUAAUGGCUCACCUUGGCGACGAUCCCUAGCUGGUCUGCUGGUAUGAACGCCCAACCUGAAACUGAGACCCAGUCCAGACUCCGCAGGGAGGCGCCAGUGGGGAAUAUUGGACAAUGGUCGCAAGCCUGCUGCAGCCAUGCCGGGGGGUGGAAGAAGGCCUUCGAGUUGUAAAGCACUUUCAGCGAGGAGGCGUUACUCGCCGAAGAAGCACCGGCUAACUCCGUGCCAGCCGCCGCGGUAAUUC